UACGUAGGUGGCGAGCGUUGUCCGGAUUUAUUGGGUUUAAAGGGUGCGUAGGCGGCUCAUUAAGUCAGUGGUGAAAUACCCCGGCUCAACCGGGGGGGUGCCAUUGAUACUGAUGGGCUUGAGUACAGACGAGGCAGGCGGAAUUGACGGUGUAGCGGUGAAAUGCAUAGAUAUCGUCAAGAACACCUAUAGCGAAGGCAGCUUGCUAGACUGGCACUGACGCUGAGGCGCGAAAGCUAGGGGAGCAAACGGG
rnacentral:rRNA from 1 species